CCCCCCCAUAGGACAAGCACAUACAUUUUCCAAGGUAGCAAGAAGCAAACCAGAAAAAAAAAAAAGAAAAAAAGAGAGAGAUGAAAGAUCGGAUACAACAAUUUGUAGCAUUGCCAUUUUCACUGGGUUGCUCAACGCAAUCCAGCGUCGCCGUGGCUGAUACUCAUGAUCAACCCAAGAAACCAGACCAGCUCAUCAAGAGGAGAGAAGAAAGUGAUGAAAAUGGCUUGUUUCAAAAAGAAGACACGAGCAUAGACAACAACAACAACAACGGCAGUGCUAAUAUCUCAGACAAAAUUAUUCGAAGCUUCAAGAGUUUUUCUCACUACUUCAUUCAUAUCUAAUACAGCGAGUAAAUUUUUAGAGAGACUUGCGACCAUUAUGAUUCUUUGGAAUACUCAAGAAACAAUACAAUAGUCAUAUAUAUAGGUUCGUCAUUUUCUAAAUAUUUGGCAAUGUUUUAUGAAUCUACAUAUGAGAUAUAACUAGGGUCGACACUGAAUUUAAAUAUUUUAGUUAGAUUUUAAUAAAAUUCAUAAUAAUUUAGGGACCACCAAAACUAUCUUUUAUCAAAAACUAUAUAUAUAUAUAUAUAUAUAUAUAUAGUUUUAAAAUUUGGGAAUAAAACACAUUACACAUGAAUCACUUCCCGAUAACGUGCAUUUGCUUCUGUAUAUGAGCAGGUUAUGAAGAGGAGAGGGAAGAAAGAGAGGCGGAGAUGGAGAUAGGGUUUCCAACGGACGUGAAACACUUGAGCCACAUCGGAGUCGAUGGAACCAUGACCACUUUUGACGUCUAUUCCACCACCAAUUCCUCAUCUUUCCCAUUCGCUGGUUUCCAUCUCACUGCCGUCUGAUUUAAUUUGUAUCUUUAACUAUGAAACAACUUUACAUAUACUAUUUUACAUUUCUGUUUAUAUGCAAUGGUUCCAUAUACGUAAGAGUAAGACCCUCAUUGGGUUGCAAAGAAAACACCACAAAGUCUAUCCAAUAAUGACUUUCAAAAGAUGCCUUUUUUAUCUUUCAAUAUUCAGUUAUAGUUUGC